UACGGAGGGGGGCUAGCGUUGUUCGGAAUUACUGGGCGUAAAGCGCACGUAGGCGGCUUUGUAAGUUAGAGGUGAAAGCCCGGAGCUUAACUCCGGAACUGCCUUUAAGACUGCAUCGCUUGAAUCAUGGAGAGGUUAGUGGAAUUCCGAGUGUAGAGGUGAAAUUCGUAGAUAUUCGGAAGAACACCAGUGGCGAAGGCGACUAACUGGACAUGUAUUGACGCUGGGGGUGCGAAAAGCGUGGGGGAGCAAACAGG
rnacentral:rRNA from 1 species